GACGAACGCUGGCGGCGUGCUUAACACAUGCAAGUUGAACGAGAAUUUUUCGAGUGAUUUCUUCGGAAUGAUCAUGAAAAAGGAAAGUAGCGGACGGGUGAGUAACACGUGAGAAACCUGCCUUUCACAAAGGGAUAGCCUCGGGAAACCGGGAUUAAUACCUUAUGAAACCAAACACUCGCAUGAGAGAUUGGUUAAAGAUUUAUCGGUGUUAGAUGGUCUCGCGUCUGAUUAGCUAGUUGGUGGGAUAAAAGCCUACCAAGGCAACGAUCAGUAGCCGGAUUGAGAGGUUGAACGGCCACACUGGAACUGAGACACGGUCCAGACUCCUACGGGAGGCAGCAGUGGGGAAUUUUGCACAAUGGAGGAAACUCUGAUGCAGCGACGCCGCGUGAGUGAUGAAGGUCUUCGGAUUGUAAAACUCUGUCCUUAGUGAAGAUAAUGACAGUAACUAAGAAGCAAGCCCUGGCUAAAUACGUG
rnacentral:rRNA from 1 species